rnacentral:rRNA from 1 species
UUGUUGGUAAGGUAAAAGCUUACCAAGGCUUCGAUCAGUAGCUGGUCUGAGAGGACGACCAGCCACACUGGGACUGAGACACGGCCCAGACUCCUACGGGAGGCAGCAGUGGGGAAUUUUGGACAAUGGGGGCAACCCUGAUCCAGCCAUGCCGCGUGAGUGAAGAAGGCCUUCGGGUUGUAAAGCUCUUUCAGCCGGAACGAAACGGUUACGGAUAACACCCGUGACUACUGACGGUACCGGAAGAAGAAGCACCGGCUAACUACGUGCCAGCAGCCGCGGUAAUACGUAGGGUGCGAGCGUUAAUCGGAAUUACUGGGCGUAAAGCGUGCGCAGGUGGUUUUGUAAGUCAGAUGUGAAAGCCCCGGGCUCAACCUGGGAACUGCGUUUGAAACUACAAGACUAGAGUGUGGCAGAGGGGGGUGGAAUUCCGCGUGUAGCAGUGAAAUGCGUAGAGAUGUGGAGGAACACCGAUGGCGAAGGCAGCCCCCUGGGUCAACACUGACGCUCAGGCACGAAAGCAUGGGGAGCAAACAGGAUUAGAUACCCUGGUAGUCCAUGCCCUAAACGAUGUCAACUAGUUGUCGGGCCUUUACGGGCUUGGUAACGUAGCUAACGCGUGAAGUUGACCGCCUGGGGAGUACGAUCGCAAGAUUAAAACUCAAAUGAAUUGACGGGGACCCGCACAAGCGGUGGAUUAUGUGGAUUAAUUCGAUGCAACGCGAAAAACCUUACCUACCCUUGACAUGUAUCGAAGCCCGCAGAGAAGCGGGGGUGCCCGAAAGGGAACGAUAACACAGGUGCUGCAUGGCUGUCGUCAGCUCGUGUCGUGAGGUGUUGGGUUAAGUCCCGCAACGAGCGCAACCCUUGUCAUUAAUUGCCAUCAUUUAGUUGGGCACUUUAAUGAGACUGCCGG